CGCUGGCGGCAGGCCUAACACAUGCAAGUCGUACGAGAAGGUUCCUUCGGGAACUGGAGAGUGGCGCACGGGUGAGUAACGCGUGGGGACCUACCUCUUAGUGGGGGAUAACGGUUGGAAACGACCGCUAAUACCGCAUACGCCCUUCGGGGGAAAGAUUUAUCGCUAAGAGAUGGACCCGCGUUGGAUUAGCUAGUUGGCGAGGUAACGGCUCACCAAGGCAUCGAUCCAUAGCUGGUUUGAGAGGAUGAUCAGCCACACUGGGACUGAGACACGGCCCAGACUCCUACGGGAGGCAGCAGUGGGGAAUAUUGGACAAUGGGGGCAACCCUGAUCCAGCCAUGCCGCGUGAGUGAAGAAGGCCUUCGGGUUGUAAAGCUCUUUCAGAUGCGAAGAUGAUGACGGUAACAUCAGAAGAAGCCCCGGCUAAUUUCGUGCCAGCAGCCGCGGUAAUACGAAAGGGGCAAGCGUUGUUCGGAUUUACUGGGCGUAAAGGGCACGCAGGCGGUCUUGCCAGUCAGGGGUGAAAGCCCGGGGCUCAACCUCGGAACUGCCU
rnacentral:rRNA from 1 species